CAGACCCUGUCUGACAGACACAACAAAUGAGAAUUUACUUGAAUAGACCCGAGCUGACAAGAAACUCCCUUGUUUUCUUUAAAAAUAUAUAUAUUUUAGUGUGUGUGUUUGUGUGUGGUGUUUGAUGGGGGUGGGGAAUGUCUGUCGGCAACUUCUCGUGUUUAUGCCCCUAUUAUGAGGCUUUUAAUUGCCGAACUUUUCUCCCCUCUUUCAAAGAGCGCUCAUAUUUUUUCUUCCACAGACAAGAACUCCAGACCUUGACUGCGGUUCGUCUUAUGUUGUUGUGACCAGCCGAGAAGCUGAAAACUCGCACUUGGCGCUUUUCAGUCGCUUUGUUUGUCUUUUUUUGCUGUUUACAGUUUUUUUUACCCCGUUUGUAUGUACUUAAUUGUUUAUUCACUCUGAGUUCGCCCGGUUCUCCCUCUCCCCGGCUCUCUUCACGGUCAAAUGGAGAAACCAGAACUGAAAACGGGAAAAGAACCAACCCUCCCAUUCCUUCUUAUUUUUAUUUUUAGAAACGAGAAAUCUGCAAACUCCCGACUGACACUUAUGACACCCCCCUCUCUCUCGCCCAUAGGCCCCCUCCUCCUGGAGAAAGUGUGUGAGCAGUAGGAGAGACAGAUUCCUAUGACGGGAAGCGCGGCUCUGCCGUUCUCCCCUCGCCAGCCCGAGUCGGUGAAAUAAAAGACAGGCCGGAUUUUCCCGCCACCGCCAGCCAUUCAUUCCUGUGGCGGGAACAGCUUCUCACUCUCCACCUCGGAGCAAGCAGGCAUUUCAUUUUUAAAAAACCCAAAAAGAAAGGAUUUUCUUCAGCUUUUGCUUUUUUCUCUCUUUCACCCAUCCCCCUCUUCUAUACGAUAUACACGUAGCAGGAACCGAAGCUCAGUGAAAUAUCUUGGAGAUGCUUGACUGAAGGAUUUUCCAAGCGUCUGCUUUUUUUUAACAGUACGCUCGGUGUAUUAGCGAGGUCACGUCUGCUUACGUCACGUUAAGUGUACGUCUGGCAACACCUCAAUGAAAUUAUUAGCAACAAGGAAAAUAUGCAAAUUGGCACUUUAUUGUGGGACUGCAACUGAAUUGAAAGCGUCUUCUUAUUUUUCAUUUUUCAAAAAAUCUCUCUCUGGGCUAUAUGUCUGUAUUUUUCAAUUAGAAGACUAUAAAACUUGAGUGUGCUGGAUUUUUUAUGUAUAAAGGGAGACUGGAAAAAAUAUCCCUGCGUAAUAACGCCGCUGAUGCGCCAUCACCCCUGCUGUUGGCUGUACGUGUGCGUUAUUUUUAAUAUGUAUAUCUCUAAAUGCAUCUUGUACAAUAAAUGAGCCUCAACUCAUAAUCCACAAUACGUCUGAUAAUCUUGCCCUUCUGAUUAUACAAGGACGAUUCAGAUUAAGAGAUGAUAUGUUAAAGGCAAACGUUACAUUUUUUAGAGAUUGGACCAAAUUUCAAGCAAUGCAUUGCCAAAUGAAGAACGUAUUGGAAAGAAGUAUUCACUUUGCUGGGGGAACAUCGUUGUGGAAACGUGUGCAGA